rnacentral:rRNA from 1 species
AGUAACGGCGAGUGAAGCGGGAACAGCUCAAAUUUGAAAUCUGGCCCUCGGGUCCGAAUUGUAAUUUGCAGAGGAUGCUUUUGGUUAGGUACUUUCCGAGUUCCCUGGAACGGGACGCCUUAGAGGGUGAGAGCCCCGUACGGUUGGAUACCGAGCCUUUGUAAAGCUCCUUCGACGAGUCGAGUAGUUUGGGAAUGCUGCUCUAAAUGGGAGGUAAAUUUCUUCUAAAGCUAAAUACCGGCCAGAGACCGAUAGCGCACAAGUAGAGUGAUCGAAAGAUGAAAAGCACUUUGAAAAGAGGGUUAAAUAGCACGUGAAAUUGUUGAAAGGGAAGCGUUUAUGACCAGACUUUUUCCAGGCGGAUCAUCCGGUGUUCUCACCGGUGCACUUCGCCUGGUUGAGGCCAGCAUCGGUUUUCGUAGAGGGAUAAAAGCUUUAGGAAUGUGGUUCCUCCGGGAAUGUUAUAGCCUAUUGUAUAAUACCUUUACGGGGACCGAGGUUCGCGCUCUGCAAGGAUGCUGGCGUAAUGGUCAUCAACGACCCGUCUUGAAACACGGACCAAGGAGUCGAACAUUUGUGCGAGUGUUUGGGUGUUAAACCCUCACGCGUAAUGAAAGUGAACGGAGGUGAGAGCCCUUACGGGUGCAUCAUCGACCGAUCCUGAUGUUUUCGGAUGGAUUUGAGUAAGAGCAUAACUGUUCGGACCCGAAAGAUGGUGAACUAUGCGUGGAUAGGGUGAAGCCAGAGGAAACUCUGGUGGAGGCUCGCAGCGGUUCUGACGUGCAAAUCGAUCGUCAAAUCUGCGCAUGGGGGCGAAAGACUAAUCGAACCAUCUAGUAGCUGGUUACCGCC